GCACUUGUGGCUCAAAGGAGUAGGGCGCUGGCCCCAUAUGCCAGAGGUGGCAGGUUCAAGCCCUGUCCUGGCCA
rnacentral:tRNA from 1 species